rnacentral:rRNA from 1 species
UACGAAGGGGGCGAGCGUUGUUCGGAAUUACUGGGCGUAAAGGGCGCGCAGGCGGUCCUUCAAGUCAGAUGUGAAAGCCCCGGGCUCAACCUGGGAACUGCAUUUGUGACUGCAUGGCUAGAGUACGGUAGAGGGGGAUGGAAUUCCGCGUGUAGCAGUGAAAUGCGUAGAUAUGCGGAGGAACACCGAUGGCGAAGGCAAUCCCCUGGACCUGUACUGACGCUCAUGCACGAAAGCGUGGGGAGCAAACAGG